rnacentral:rRNA from 1 species
GACGAACGCUGGCGGCGUGCUUAACACAUGCAAGUCGAGCGGAAAGGCCCUGCUUUUGUGGGGUGCUCGAGUGGCGAACGGGUGAGUAACACGUGAGUAACCUGCCCUUGACUUUGGGAUAACUUCAGGAAACUGGGGCUAAUACCGGAUAGGAGCUCCUGCUGCAUGGUGGGGGUUGGAAAGUUUCGGCGGUUGGGGAUGGACUCGCGGCUUAUCAGCUUGUUGGUGGGGUAGUGGCUUACCAAGGCUUUGAAGGGUAGCCGGCCUGGGAGGGUGACCGGCCACAUUGGUACUGAGAUACGGCCCAGACGCCUACGGGAGGCAGCAGUGGGGAAUAUUGCACAAUGGGCGGAAGCCUGAUGCAGCAACGCCGCGUGCGGGAUGACGGCCUUCGGGUUGUAAACCGCUUUCGCCUGUGACGAAGCGUGAGUGACGGUAAUGGGUAAAGAAGCACCGGCUAACUACGUG